rnacentral:rRNA from 1 species
UACAGAGGGUGCAAGCGUUAAUCGGAAUUACUGGGCGUAAAGGGCGCGUAGGCGGGUCGUUUAGUUAGAGGUGAAAGCCCAGGGCUCAACCCUGGAAUUGCCUUUAAUACUGGCGGCCUUGAGUAUGGCAGAGGUGUGUGGAACUCCGAGUGUAGAGGUGAAAUUCGUAGAUAUCGGGAGGAACACCAGUGGCGAAGGCGGCGAUCUGGGAAGAUACUGACGCUGAGGUGCGAAAGCGUGGGGAGCAAACAGG